rnacentral:misc_RNA from 1 species
AGUUUGUGUCCAUCGUCCAAAAACUAUCUCUUGACGCAUGUAUUUCACCAAUUACCAAAGUUCUUUGAGGUAAAAUGAAUUUCCAUUCCAAAGAAUAUAGUGACUAAACUGUAUUUGGCUCUGAAUAAUUAAGUUGCAGAAAUUUAACAAACAAAUAGACAUGCUAUAGUAAGUGGUCAAAUUUAAUUUCAUGGUGGUACAUUGCUCCUAUAUAAAUGCAAGAUACAGUUUUUACAGAUAGGAAUUCACCAAUUUUAGAAUAGAGGCAUACAUUGCAAAAACUAAAGAUCCAAGUAUUAAACCAACGAUGCAAUUACACUUACCCGAUAAUGUACUUUGAUUCUAUCUCCCUUAUGA